rnacentral:rRNA from 2 species
GGGACCCGUCUUGAAACACGGACCAAGGAGUCUAGCAUGUGCGCGAGUCAUUGGGACUCUAUACUAAACCUAAAGGCGUAAUGAAAGUGAAGGUCCGUCUUGCGCGGACCGAGGGAGGAUGGGCGGUCCCGAGGGACCGCCCCGCACUCCCGGGGCGUCUCGUUCUCAUCGCGAGAAGAGGCGCACCCAGAGCGUACACGCUGGGACCCGAAAGAUGGUGAACUAUGCCUGGUCAGGACGAAGUCAGGGGAAACCCUGAUGGAGGUCCGUAGCGAUUCUGACGUGCAAAUCGAUCGUCGGAACUGGGUAUAGGGGCGAAAGACUAAUCGAACCAUCUAGUAGCUGGUUCCCUCCGAAGUUUCCCUCAGGAUAGCUGGCGCUCGCUUCUCGCGAGUCUCAUUCGGUAAAGCGAAUGAUUAGAGGCAUUGGGGUCGAAACGGCCUCAACCUAUUCUCAAACUUUAAAUGGGUGAGAUCUCCGGCUUGCUUGAACUGUGAAGCCGCGAGAUAUCGGAUCAGAGUGCCAAGUGGGCCACUUUUGGUAAGCAGAACUGGCGCUGUGGGAUGAACCAAACGCCGAGUUAAAGCGCCUAAAUCGACGCUUAUGGGAUACCAUGAAAGGCGUUGGUAACUUAAGACAGCAGGACGGUGGCCAUGGAAGUCGGAA